rnacentral:lncRNA from 1 species
AAUGGGCGUCACUUGUGACCACUAGCACAGGAGCAGUACCAAUGAGGGCAAGAGAAGUCUCUAUCGUGAGAGGCAGAGGUAUGGGCUGGGACAGCCUGCUGCUAACCCUAAGACUGACUGCUGUUGGACAUACAGUCCAACUCCAAGGAGGCAACACACAGUAUUGUUUCCUGAGAUUGGAUGUGGAGACAUUCUCCUGGGGCCCUGAGUGCUGUAUUCAGAAAGCAAGAAUCAU